UACUACACCAUGUAGGAUGCCCCACAC
rnacentral:piRNA from 1 species